GCCGCAGUAGCUCAGCCGGUAGAGCAGCGCAUUCGUAAUGCGCGGGUCGGGAGUUCAAGUCUCUCCUGCGGCACCA
rnacentral:tRNA from 1 species